AAUCUUACCUGGCUGGGAGCGUCUCGCGAACAUGAGGGCGAGGACCUCCCAUGAUGAGGCCCAUGCAUUGCACUUUAGCAUGGGCUGACCUAUUUGGCAGCUUCGAAUUGAAAUUCGCCAACAGCUGAAUUUUUGCGUGAAGGGCUUCCGUUCGCGCUUUUA